GCAUCUGUGGUGGAAGUGGUAGACACGCACGCUUGAGGGGCGUGUGGCGCAAGCCGUGCUGGUUCAAGUCCAGUCAGAUGCACCA
rnacentral:tRNA from 1 species